UAGAGUGUAAUGUCACCGUACAUUCAUGCAUCAAGUCCUGCCUGCCCGGAAAGUCCCCCUCCCCGCCAAAAAACGCUCUUCUGGAUAAGGAGUCUGACGUCAGCUGUUGUAUCCUUGAGAAGGGAACUGACUCACUUCGAAGUGUACACUUGUUGGCUGAGAUGAAACUGUUACAGAAAUUAAUUAAUAAUGCAGCAUUUGCCAGUCUGAGAUAUAACACAGUCAGUCUGUGCCACAACCCUCAGUGUAAUGUAGUCUGGUGGGCAACUCCCAAGGGAGGUGGUUCCAAGGACGCCCCUCCGGGUGAAGCUUCUGGGGCAGACCCAGGACAUGCAGGAAGGAUUAUGUCUCCCAGCUGCCUUUGGAACAUCUGGCGAUCUUCCAGAGCAUGCUAAUGACUGUAGCCAUGGAAAGAGAGAAACCAAAGCCUCAUGGCAGGGGUCUGAAUGACCUUGCCUGGACCAUCUCAUCUGAAAUGACACGUGGACUAAAUGCUGCAGAUGAGUUCACCCUGAAAACAGAAGUAAACAGAAAAUGCUGGCAGUAUGAAUAUGAAUAUGCAUAACCUCAUUUCUGCAACCUGUCACAACCACGUCACCGACUGUUAAACCCACAAAGUCUCAGUUCUCCGGCUUGGCUUUCCAAUACGGAAAACCACGGGCAGGAAUAAGCCUCUAAUCGUGCUGAAUUACACCACUUCAUCUGCUCCGUGGUCCUUUACCCUCACGAGAGCUUCAUGCUCGUGAACACCGUUGAGUGAAAUUGGGGAAUAAGUGGCAAAUCACAGCUCUCCCCCGUUAACUUGGGUCCAGAAUCUGUCAGGAUGGAUUUGAGCAGAUGGUAGAGUCUGCCCUUCCCAAAAGGAAACCUGUGUCCCUUUACAGGCAGAUUCCACAACAGUGAGAGGAAUGAUUGCUUUUCUGGAUCCCACGAGGUCCAGGGCUACCGUCACUAACAUCACUGCCAAUCUAUACAUAGUUCAGACAUUUAUUCAUAGUUCAGUAAUCGAAUCACUCCAUGAAAUCCUGAGCUGUACCUUCUGUAGAUAAAUUUAACAUUUUAUUGGUCACCUUUG